rnacentral:rRNA from 1 species
UACGUAGGGGGCUAGCGUUGUCCGGAAUUAUUGGGCGUAAAGAGCGUGUAGGCGGUCUGUCGCGUCGGCUGUGAAAACCCGGGGCUCAACCCCGGGCCUGCAGUCGAUACGGGCAGACUAGAGUGUGGUAGGGGAGACUGGAAUUCCUGGUGUAGCGGUGAAAUGCGCAGAUAUCAGGAGGAACACCGGUGGCGAAGGCGGGUCUCUGGGCCAUAACUGACGCUGAGGAGCGAAAGCGUGGGGAGCGAACAGG